UACGAAGGGGGCUAGCGUUGUUCGGAAUCACUGGGCGUAAAGCGUAUGCAGGCGGAUCAUUAAGUCGGGGGUGAAAUCCUGAGGCUCAACCUCAGAACUGCCUUCGAUACUGAUGAUCUUGAGUCCGGGAGAGGUGAGUGGAACUGCGAGUGUAGAGGUGAAAUUCGUAGAUAUUCGCAAGAACACCAGUGGCGAAGGCGGCUCACUGGCCCGGUACUGACGCUGAGAUACGAAAGCGUGGGGAGCAAACAGG
rnacentral:rRNA from 1 species